GAAUGCUGACAUAAGUAACGAUAAAGCGGGUGAAAAGCCCGCUCGCCGGAAGACCAAGGGUUCCUGUCCAACGUUAAUCGGGGCAGGGUGAGUCGACCCCUAAGGCGAGGCCGAAAGGCGUAGUCGAUGGGAAACGGGUUAAUAUUCCCGUACUUGGUGUUACUGCGAAGGGGGGACGGAGAAGGCUAUGUUGGCCGGGCGACGGUUGUCCCGGUUUAAGCGUGUAGGUGUGUGUUCCAGGUAAAUCCGGUUCACUUUAACACUGAGGCGUGACGACGAGGCACUACGGUGCUGAAGCAACAAAUGCCCUGCUUCCAGGAAAAGCCUCUAAGCAUCAGGUAACAUCAAAUCGUACCCCAAACCGACACAGGUGGUCAGGUAGAGAAUACCAAGGCGCUUGAGAGAACUCGGGUGAAGGAACUAGGCAAAAUGGUGCCGUAACUUCGGGAGAAGGCACGCUGACACGUAGGUGAAGUGAUUUACUCAUGGAGCUGAAGUCAGUCGAAGAUACCAGCUGGCUGCAACUGUUUAUUAAAAACACAGCACUGUGCAAACACGAAAGUGGACGUAUACGGUGUGACGCCUGCCCGGUGCCGGAAGGUUAAUUGAUGGGGUCAGCGCAAGCGAAGCUCCUGAUCGAAGCCCCGGUAAACGGCGGCCGUAACUAUAACGGUCCUAAGGUAGCGAAAUUCCUUGUCGGGUAAGUUCCGACCUGCACGAAUGGCGUAAUGAUGGCCAGGCUGUCUCCACCCGAGACUCAGUGAAAUUGAACUCGCUGUGAAGAUGCAGUGUACCCGCGGCAAGACGGAAAGACCCCGUGAACCUUUACUAUAGCUUGACACUGAACAUUGAGCCUUGAUGUGUAGGAUAGGUGGGAGGCUUUGAAGCGUGGACGCCAGUCUGCGUGGAGCC
rnacentral:rRNA from 1 species